rnacentral:rRNA from 1 species
CGUGGUAGCCUGCGAAAAGCUUCGGGGAGUCGGCAAACAGACUGUGAUCCGGAGAUGUCUGAAUGGGGGAACCCAGCCAUCAUAAGAUGGUUAUCUUGUACUGAAUACAUAGGUGCAAGAGGCGAACCAGGGGAACUGAAACAUCUAAGUACCCUGAGGAAAAGAAAUCAACCGAGAUUCCCUUAGUAGUGGCGAGCGAACGGGGACCAGCCCUUAAGUUGUAUUGAGAUUAGCGGAACGUUCUGGAAAGGACGGCCAUAGUGGGUGAUAGCCCUGUACGCGAAAAUCCCUUUGCAAUGAAAUCGAGUAGGACGGGGCACGAGAAACCUUGUCUGAAUAUGGGGGGA